AGGACCCCUGAUUUAAUUACUUAAUAUGGAACCAUUGUCCUGAAUAAGGAGCAUAGAUAAGAAUGAAGAGGAUAGCAGACUGAAUUUCUCUCUGAGAGGAGGAGUUUGCUAUUGCCAUUUUGGAACCACUGGUGCCAGUUUUCUUUAAACAUCGGGCCUUGCUUGCAAGCUCUACGGUUACGCCCAGUUUUUACAUGACACCCCAAGAC